UCUCUUUCUGUUCUCCUGCUCUUCCCUCCCAUUCUUUCUCCGCACCUCCUUUCCCCAGUCCCUCGCUCUCUUUACCUCCUUCACCAACCCUCUCUCUAUGUUACCCACUUUCUACUUCUUCCCACAUCUCUUCUCCUCAAGGUCUUCCCAAAAAUCAUUCCCCGGGAAAAAGAAAAAGAAUUUAAGGCUGCAAUUUCCUGUUUAAAAAGAGGGACGUUCAAAGCAGUGUAAAAGAAUGGGAGGAUA